rnacentral:lncRNA from 1 species
ACCAGGAUUUGUCUUGUUAUUGACAUUUAUGGGAAUACUCAAUUCCAGGAAGACAAAGAGACCUCUGAACUUUCUAAAUGUGGCCUCCAAGCUUUCUGGUCUGAAUGGGAACAGUUUGGCAAGAUCAUCAACAAUGACUGCAGAGCAAAUGGAGUCCAAGCUAAGACCUAAAAGGUUGCUUCCUGUUCAGGAUAGAAGCUUGAAGACCCUUUUAGAAAGGUCCAAGGUUCAUUAGGUACUUAGGAUUAACUGUUUCCAAAAUUCUAUCAGUAGCAAGAAAAGUGCUUAUAUGCUUGAUUGGACUAGACGACCAAAAAACAGUUCUCAAACAAGAUUUGUUUUAUGAAGACACUUUCCAUAGCAAUUGGACAAUAGUCCUCAGUGACUAACAUGGUAAGACAAAGGAUGGAAGCUGUUUCCCCCAACCUCUUGCCUCGCUGUACCUUAUCUUUCCACCCUUUGUUCCUGAAACUGUGAAAAUCAUAAACUUACUAAGGGCUGAAUAGCCCCGGGAGAAUUGCUAUAUACUCACAAACUUACAAUGGGCAGAUUUAUAAGCCAUGAUGAUAACUGACUAAUAGGAAAUACCCUGAACUGAAAAUGAGAGUUUUUCAUUUGCAAAUGGGUUCCCUUUCUCAGAGAAAUUACUGGAGAAAAUAUCACACAAGCAAAAUUAAUCUUUGGAGACCCUCUUUGCAUGUGUGUGUCUUCUCCUUCCAUAGCCACCAGAGGUAUCAUUGUCCUCAGGUCUCACCUCUACACACGCACAUAUACAAAAAGUGAUUUGAUAAAAUAAUUUACAUGAAUGUAUUAGUGUCCUAAUGUAAUUAUGCUUUCAAAGGAAUCCCAUGAAGAGAACACUGUUUGAUGCGACAAUAGCCUCUCUACUCCAUUUCAAAUGCUUUGGACAAAGGGUUGGGAAGUACAUGUGAAUGGGGGUUCCUUGGUCCCCUCCAAUCAUACAAUGUGUGCAGGCACUCCAUGCACCAGAUUUUAUAUCAAAAUUUGCUUGAUAACUAUUAAUCUAUUAUUGAAUUACCUUCU